rnacentral:ncRNA from 1 species
GUGUUCGUUAAAAGGAGAGAUGGUUGGCAUCUCCCCUGACAGGGACGGGAACAGCUUUCGAGCUUCCUUGUUCACACUUGGUUAAGGCACUCUGUUUCGGCAGAUCUUACCAACAUUUUUU